AUGACCAAGGUGGAGCUGUUGCGGUCGCAACACUCACUCUGGAUGUGCCUGAGAGCUCCCACACACAAGCCAAUCCACAAGGGGGAGCCAAUGUGGGCUCUCGAGAACCAUCUAAGGGUGGCAUGGAGGGGUACCGAUGGCAGAGCAGGGAAUGUGCACGAGGCACCUCCGGAUAAGAUGGAGGGUGGUGAUGAUGUGUACAGCUCUCUGGAGGAGUGGCUCCACGCAUUGCCUACAUUUGAGGAGUUAGAGCAACCCAAGCAACCGGAUGGCGUUCAUGGGACUACAACAACCGCUACGACCAGUGCCAGUGAAGUGUCUCCGCAGUAG
rnacentral:rRNA from 1 species